rnacentral:tRNA from 1 species
UCCCUAAAGGUCUGGUGGUUAAGACUCUGAGCUUCCAAUGCAGCGGGCACAGGUUCAACUCCUGGUUAUGGAG